GGGAAAGGAAGAGAAAAGGGAUUUAUAGAAAAAGGGAAUAGGGUGAAGAAGAAGGGAGAUUUGCAAGAGAUUUCAACUCUGAUUUAGAGACUACCCAAAUCAGUACGACAGAUUUAAAUGCUCUGCCUGUUCGAUAUCUAUACAGGUACGACAGAAUUUAGUGCUAUGCUUGUGCUUUAUUUCAUGCCAAGUAUGAUAGAUUUGAGUGUUCUGCCCAUGAGAGAUUAUACCGGGUAUGACAGUUGUUUUCCUUUUGCUCUGCCUAGGUGGGGACACCCCUGAUUAUGACAGAUUUUUCUUCCAUAUGAUAUUUUGAUGUAUAUUUUUAUAUUAGAAUUGUGUGAGAUCUAUGGGAAAAUUAUCUUAAUAUCUUGAUAUGGAAGGAAACUUAUAAGAUAAAGAUAGUAUUGCUAUUAAGUUGGAAGUGGAAAUUCAUAAAUGAUUGAUAUGUUCCUAUGAGAAAAGGUAGUAUGGUUAAUUUCUUUCUUGAGACAAUCAAUUUAUGUGAUGAUUGUGUGAUGAACGUUUCAAGUUAAAUGAGAAGCAUGUGGUUUAAGCAUAAUUAGCAUAGUGUGUGGCUCAUAUUUUGGCAUACUAUUAUAUUUUGACAUGCAUUAAUAUUCUCAAAGAUUUAAAUUUCCUACUCACUGAGCUUUUAGCUCACCCUUAUAAAUGUUUUCCUCCCUCCAGGACAUCCUACAAAUCGUGCGGGAUAGUGUUUUGUUGGGUUGUGCCACAGUGUAGCAUCUUUCGUGGAUGUUUUCAUUUGCACACAUCUAUAUAGACUUUUUGUUGUUUUUUUUAUAAACUUAUAAAAUGUUGAAAGGCCGGAGGCCUAAUUAUCAUAUUCUCAUAAUCUUUUGAAAUGAGUAAAGAUGUAAAUUAUUUUGUUAUGUAUGUGAUAA